ensembl:lncRNA
AUGAGGACCAUGUAGCCCGAGGUCUUCCAUCCCCAAGGAAGGAUGAGUACCCAAGAAGUGGGGUGUACAGAGUGGUUAUAUACCCUCAAAGAGCAUGUUUCACAUAUGAAGGAAAUGUCCCCUUUACAGCAGUCACGAGACUGCUCUGUCAGCACAGCAAUGGAUGGACACAGCAAGUUGUAGGGCGCUGUCUCAGUGGACACAGCAGGGUGGCAGGUCUGUUGUCUAGAGCUGGGUGAUCACAGGAUGAGUGCAGCAAUUAGUUCCUAGCCUGAGGAGAGAUGCUUACCCUUAAGGAAAUGCAAAUGUCGGGGAAGUUGCACCUUCAUCUUAAGGGCAUUUGUUCUUGCCUUUGGGACACAGCAAAUGCUUAAGCAGAUGUACAAUGCAUGCUCAUCGGCCGCGCCAGGCCCUUUUGGAAAAACACAGUCAGGCUGAAUUAGGUUUAUACCAAAUGCUUUCCUCAUACACUCCAAUCUCCUAUUGCUUGCCAUUUAUUUGUCACAGGUCAAACCUGUCACUUCAGCCAGGCCUGCAUUCAGCAAAUCAUGAAGGUGACAAACAUCUCCCAGGACCCCUGACCACCCUCCCCUGCUCACAAGUCUGGCCCUGGGUUUGGAAGGGAUGUCAGAAGGCAAAUUGUCACCCCUGACCCCCUCCCUGGCCACCUUUGACCUCAGCCACUGCCUGGCCACGCCCAGUGACAGUUGCAACUGCCAUUGGUGGGCAGUUUAGAACUCCGCAGGGCAGGGCAGGGCCAGAGACACCAGCCCACACUGAGGGCCCAGCUGCAUGGCUUAACCAUGGACCCUGCUCAGCUGAGGCCCUCUCAUCGCUGCCCACGGGUCAGGUAGGGCCGCUGAGGGACUUGAAUGCGGUCAUGGGUGUCCAGCUGUCCUUGGAUCCUCAGGACACUGUCAGAGGUGUCACCACCAGGGACGAAAGUCCACACCACUGGGAGGAUGGCCGGCCUCCUUCCCAACAACCCUGAAUAACCUACGGGGACUGUUGCCUCCAAAUGAGGCGGACACGGGGGCUUCUUCCACCUGUAAUCCAGAGGGACUUUUCACAGCCCCAUGAGGUGGCAAGGUGGCUCACCAUGUAGAGGGCACGACACAGUGUCCAGCACCAGACAAUGCCCGGUGACCAUCCACGUGGCUCACUGAGAGUGUCCAGCUGGAGGCACAGCCGGCUGAGCAGGGCUCUGCUCUCGGGGGACGGGUCUGCCGUGUCCUCCCUGGGGUGAGUGUCGUGUGGAGGCCCCCGGGAGGGACUCUCACCCUGCCCGUGAGAGAGAACGGCUGCAGCCCCUCCAGGACUGUGGGGGCGCCUGUGCUGACCCCUUGGGUCUGCUCAGAAACCGCUUCAUCCCUGCCUGUGGGAAGUGGUGGUUCUGCCUGUGGCCGCCCCCUCUGUGGGCCUCGCACCCGGAAGCAGAGAAGGCGUCGCCCUGUAUCCCCCACUCCCAGAAGAGACGCGGAGACACUCGCUUCCUGAGCCAGAUGGUCACCCAUCCUUCUGGGCCCAGGAGGCGGCUGAGAGCUCGGCCCUGAGUCAUGCCAGCCAGGACGGAGUCCCGCAGAGGCUGUUCCCGCCCGCCACUUGUGGGGUCUGUCGUUCCGGCUCGGCCCUUAUUCCACUUGGAAGCCUGGACUUCCCUGCUGGUUUCUGCCCUCCAUUCCUGCGCAGCUGGGCCCCUCCGCAAGGAGAACAAUUGCAGUCAGUGAUGUGACUUGGGAGGUGCUGGCAAGGCCUCCCCCAUGGUGUUACUUCCCUGGGAGCUGCCGCAGUGCAGGCCCCCACAAGAGCGUGGUGUGCAUUGCUCGUCAGCGUGCUCACCACCAACACCGCCACUUCGCCCCUGAGCCUCUCUCUGCACCUGCUUCCUUCUUUUCGCAUGUUCCACAUGUUUACCAAACAAGGACAGCCUGGCCUCCCAGGGAUGGAGGCACAGGCAGCCCCUUGCUAGGCCAGGAAUGGAGACCUGGAACCAAGCAGUGCCCCUGGCAUGUUCUACUCGUGUCCACCAGCUCUGGGCGCCUUGGGAUGUUGACCACAGUGUCACGCUCCGUCUGCCUGCCCCAUCUCACUGUUGCAACCGUGCGGCCAGACUAACCUCGUAAAAAAUGCAAGAUCAGGAGACACCACUGCUCAAAGCCUCCAUGUCACACAGACACUCACAUUUGAACUCGUGUCCUGCUUGGUGGUCCCCAGGCAGGAGACAGGACGUGCAAGCGCUGAGCAGUCAGCUCGUCCCCGGGCGGAGUAACAGAUUUGUGGGGUCCACGGCCCACGAAGCACAGAGGCCAGAGGAACCCUUGACCACCUCCCAGUUUGUCCCAUUAGUCCCCUUGCUGACCCUCUCCAGACAGUGGCCCCCAGGAUGACGCACGAGCCGAUCUCCCCUGUGGCCGGAUCCUUGGAUUUUCUGUCGCCUUCUUUCUAAUCUUGCCUGUGAUUAUCCUUGGAACCCGCUGACAAACACUUAAUAGCUGUUCCUUUAAACACUGUAAAGGGUAGAUUUCCAGCCCCAGGCCACCCUUGGCACUUAGAGUGCCCUCGUAUGUUCAUCACAACCUUCAAUCUUAGAAGGUCGGAGCUUGACAAGCCUCCCUAAAUCUCCUGGCCGAGCUGUGGGACAAAGUGGAGCCCGCCUUCCUCUCAGCUGGCCCAGGGGGAAUCCGGGCUUCAGCGAAGAAUUCAAGCUGCAGGGCACAGAUCCAGCAGCUGGAGGACGGUCCAUGCACAGGCUAAAGGGAAAAGCCGCCCCUGCCUCCAGGACAGCGCCAGCGGCACGUGGACACGCAGAUCAGGGGGCAGCAAGCCCCGCGAAUGCAGCCUGCUGCCGCCUUUGUGAAUAAAGCUUCCUUGGGACACACCCUAGCCCAUGCAUCUCCACGGCGUCUCCGGCUGUCCUCACACGACCACAGCAGAGCUGACGAGUUGCAAAGGAGGCUGAAAGUGUUAACUUCUGGCCUUUGUGGAAACAGUCUGCUGACCGCUGACGUAGACCCCAGGUCCAUGGCUGCGACAAGGACUGGCAGUCUUCUUGUUUCUGAUGAUUGCCUGUGCUGCAGACGUGCAGUUCAACGACCCCCCAGCUCCUCCUACCCCAAAAGGGCAGAACUCACUCCCUCUGGUCCAACGACAGACACGGUUCUACAGAUGACCUUGCGAGAAGGCAGGAUUACGAGAAAGCACAGCUGUGACAUCACAGGUGUCUGUUUCCUCGGCUCCCACAUGCCCCUAUCCAGAAGGGGGCACUGAGAGAGGAGCAGCCUUCCCCACCGUCACAGGCACUGGCCCUCCAGCCUGGUCCCCAGCUAGCACCUGCGACUGUGCCCCAGCAUCCCCACCCCAGCCCACCUGGACGACCCCGUCGUGUUGCCCAGCAACAGCUCCAGCCCCGCUUCCCCCUAGCCCCCUUCCCGAUAGAGAUGAUGGAGAUGCUGUCAUCUAACUGCCUCACUCUUGACAACCCCCAACCCAGAGCAAAUGCCUGCCUCCUUGGUCUCUGCCCUGGGUCACCUCCCACCUGCCCAGAUGCUAUAAGGAGUCACUCCUGAGAUGCCUCCUUCUGCCCAGCUCCCCCAGAUGUGGGCUGCAGUGAGUAAUAAACCCCGAGCUUGCUGGUGACAGGUGUCUCCUGGUGGUCUUUGGCCGUGGCCUUGUUACAGGUGACGCUUUUAUCAAAGGUGUCGCCACUACACAUCCCGGGCAGCCAUUUAUCCUGUCCCUCGAGCGGCUUUCUCAUUUGCAGGCCCCACAGCGAUGCCCCACAACUCAGGCCGUUCCUGGGGCUCCCCGGGCCAGGCAACACUUCCCCGAGUCUGAGGCGGAGCCACCGUAGCAUUUUGGCUGGGAGACAGUGACCCUCCAGGACAACAUUAGGCCUCUUGGACUGACCUCAAUGUCACAGACAGAGGGACCGAGGCCUGUGGUGCCUGCACCCACAGGGGCCUCCAGCGAGUCCAGAGCCCAUCUCUCAGGGUCACUCAGAGGGAGAGCGCAGGCAGGGUGGGUCUGUCCCUGUCCUCUGCUCAGGUUGGCUCUUUGAGGGAGUCCUAGAAAUCUUAUCUAGGAAAGGAGAUGCCCGAGGGAGUGCCCACCCUGGCCCCUCCCUUUCCCCAGCCAGGGAGUUGCCCCCAGGAGCCCCGGCCAGGCCAGCAGAUGGUGCUCUGGCUCCGGUUCCCACCGGCCGGCCACGCUGGCACCCUGAUGUGGGACUUCCAGUCUCCAGAACUGUAAGCAAUCCAUGCCUGCUGUUUAUAAGCCAACAGGCUGCGGUGUUCUGUCAUAGCAGCGUGGACAGACUACAGUCCUAGAGUGGGACACACGCCUGGAGGGUCACAGGGACGCAGGACCGGCCUGGACCCCCCAGGCCCCUGCUGUAGAAUCCUCAGGCCCCCUGCCCCGAGGCUGAGCGAUGCCGCUGGGGUCUCCCCACCUGCCUGCCUGUGGGGCUUUGCCGAGCAGGCUACUGUGUCCUGUUGCUUUGAGUCAGCGAGGAUUCAUACUCCCUUCGUAAACUACCGAAAGCUUUAGUCACGCUGGGCGCAACUGGGUGUGGAGAGGCAGAUGUGCUCGGGGGGCUGGGUCCCCCCACAGGAAUGUCUGGCCCCCCCAUCCACCCCCUCCCUUCCAGCGCCCCGGAAGUCGCCCCCGGCUCUCUUUCGAGAGACCGAACCCCUCUUUGGGAAGAGGAAAAGGAUUGGACCAGCCCUCCCCAGCCCCACAGAGCGCAAAACCGUCAGACGGGGGACGUGUCACCUUGCGACCCUCUGGGCCCACCUAGGACAAGGAAAGGAGGGGAGGCAGCUGGGUGGGGCCUGACGCCAAGGGGACCUGGGCGGGGCUCCGGCGACCUGGCCCCUCCCUUCCAUGCCCAGACUGUCGCCCCGCUGGCCAGUGUUGUCCAGCCUGUCCAAGCUGGGUGUUGGAUGCCUGUCUGGGACUAAGAUGAGCAGAGCUAAGGACAGCGACACUGGCCUCCGCUCCAGGGCAUGAGGCACAAAGACAACAUAACCUACAUGACCUGCGCCUGCCUAGUGGGAGUGUCGUUGAGAAGAGACAGGACCCCUUGCGCAAUCCCGCCCCCUGUUCUCCCAAGGCGCCUUCUCUGGGGACAGAGGGUCACUCAGCUGCAAUCUGCAUCCUCAAUGCCUGGAUCCCCUGCCUCCCCCUGCCCCCGUUCCCUCCUGUCCUCACACCCCUCGCACCUGUGCUGGGUUGCCCUAGCUCCUGGAGGGCCCCUUUCUUCCUCCUUAGCUAAGCCCCUCUGGAGUAUCCCACCGAGUCCUCCCACUGUCGCUGCCUCCCUAUCACAGUCCCAGUCCCCGUCCUGGUCACAGUGCCCCAUUGCUGUCCUGGCCCUGGCUGUCCCUCCCUAGGCCCCCCAGAGCUGUCUUCUGUCCUGACCCUGCUGUCCAGUCCCCAGCCUGCAGCACAAGGGGGUGCCAGCCUGCUGCUCGGCCUCCUUGCUCUUCUGAGUCAAACCCUCCUGUGGCUUCCUCCCCACUUCAGAGCACCCACCAAGCCUGCGUCCCUCCUGCAAGGCCCCUGGGAUCCGACCUGACCCACUUCCCACCUUGCUGCUCCUCGUCCCUCCCCGUGAGACUCCAGGGAUGCAGCCCUAUCAGGCUCAGGUGUGUGCAUCUCAGGGCCCAGUGCCUGGACCGCCUUGCCUGGCACACAGCAGGUGUUGGUAAAUACUUGAUGGAUAAGUCAACACUAGGGGCUUGUUGUGCCUAAACUGGGAAAGAGUCAGUGGAAGAGCCUCUGGCAAGUUCCCUGUCUGUGGAUGGUGGCCCCUCCCCGCUGAGUAGGUCUGGUCUGGCUGUCCCCUCAGCCCAGGCAGCCCGCUGUGCCCAACACUGCCUCCAGCCGGGAGGGCCUGGUAUCUCCGAUUCCCUAAAUGGAUCAGUCCUGAAAAGUGACUCGGGGGGCUGCUCCUUGGGGGAAGACACCCUAAGGGGGGCACAAAGGCAGGGAGUGAGGACACAGCAGGCUGGCGAGCCCAUGCUCCUCCAGUCCGAGCCCCAAGGACCCAGGGCCUCUGCGAGGGAGGGUCCCUUGGACCAGCCACAUGCAUAUUCCCAGAGCUGGACCUUGGCUCCCAAGGCUGGAGGCGGAGGGCAGGGCCAGCUGGGAGAGGGCUGGACGUGCCAGCAGCCUCAGAGGUCAUGGCCACCUCCUGGAGACUGGACUGCUUUUCCUCACUGUCCCAAGUGUGCUUGGACAGGUGGAGGCGGAGGGUCUGGCUCUCCAGGGUCACUCACAGCUCAGGGCUCUCUUCCAAGGUGCCACCUCUUCACAGUGACACAGGAAUGCCUGCUUUUCAGGAAGCCCUUCCCUACGCACGGUGUUAGAAUUGGGGGCCAGACUUCAUGCCCCACGGUUUCUGUGGGUGCUGGAAGGAGAAAGAUGCAGGGCGGGGGUCUCUGACAUGGUGUCCCUCCCUCCCCGUAACGGCUCUUACGGCAGCACCACAGAAUCCCCAGGACCCGUCGGGGGCAGAGGAGUGAUGUGGUCAGAUGUGAGGCAGGGAGUGGGCGGGGCUGGAGGGGGCUUGGGCUCCGGGUCCAGUCUGGUCAGUGACAGCCCUGCUCCUGCCUGGGUUUCUGAGUUUCUGAGCAGGAAGGGUGCUUCCUUUUGGGGCCUGUUUCCAGACUUUGAUUUCUUGAGGAAAAUCCUGGUGACUAGCCAAGUGUGGAGAACACUGACGGAGGCCACAAAAGGCUGGAGACUGUGGGUGGCUGCAGGGAGAUGUGAAGUGGGAGGAGAAGGGGCUCUCCCCGCCCCGGGUUACGGAGGGGACCUCUUUGAUCCUCUUUAGGAGCCCAAGUUAAAAAAGUUUUUUAGAGGAAUUCCUUUAAAGUUAUUUAGUGGCUAUGUCUUGUUAAAUGUGACACCCUGCAGCCCUGGGAUCUGUUUCGGUUACAUUUGCAAUGGUUUUAAUGGCUUGAAGAGACAUCCUGAAACUUCCAGUAGAUUUUGGUGUCUAAUCAUAAUCUACAGGUGACAGAAAAAAUAAUGUCUUGAUUUUCUUUAACAUCUCUCCCCAAUACUUGCCCUGGUGCUCAGAGGGUCCCUCCUUUCCUGAGCAUCUUAAUGGGUGGAGGCUAGAGGUUGGAGGUCAACCUGGGUCACUCCUCAUCGAGCUUGAGGGCUGGGGUGCCGGGACACACUGACAAAGGUCUACCACCUGAGAGGCUGGCAUCGCCUGGGGGCAGGCAUAGCAGAGCUUUGGAGAAAAGAUCCGCAUGGUGGUGCUCCUUUAACUUCGUGGUUCAAUUCUACUUGCUGGGGGAUAGCCCCAUCCCCGGGACCCAUAAACUGUCAGAGACAGCAUCAAAUCACGCUAAGAUGAAGCGGCUGUUUCUGGUGGAUACUGUGGAGGAAGGGAGUGAGUUUUGCAUCGGGGGGACUCAGGGCUCCCUGGGCAGCAUGCUGUAGGGCCGUGCGCGGGCCCCUCCUGCCGUGCUCUCCUCAGCUGCCUCCCCCCAGGCGCCCAGGUUGGGUCACCACGCACAGGAGAGCCCCACAUCUAUCCCUGGAAAGGCCGGGGCAUGGCGAGGACGGCCCCCACAUCUUCCUGGAACUCCAUGGCCGUGGAAGAGUAGCCGACAGCAUCCUGGCAGCAGCUGGCGUUGGCCGUGUGAGAAUCAGGCUGUCUGACGGUGACCACCCUCUGGAUGGUGGGGCAGGCCAAAUUUGUCCAUUGGGCCACGAGCUUGGCCAAGAAGGCGACGUGCAGUGGGAGGAAACAGACCGUGAAGGUGGCCAGGUUGGCCGCCACCAUGCAGAGGGCCUUGAGAUGUGGGCUGUGGCUUGGGGCAGCGCCUGUGUUCCCUCACGGAGGAGAUGCCCGAGCACCUGCCCCACACAGAAGCUCAGGAGGAGCCGUGGGAGGAAGAGGAGCUGGGAGAAGCCCUGCCUGAAGGGUGGGGCUCUGCCCGAAGCAGAAGCUGUCUGCUUGUGCGGACGUGGACAGGGCCACCGCCCUGAGGACCAGAAGGUGGGGGCGGCCUGCAGGGGAAGGUGCAGGGUGGAGCCGCGGUCCCCAGCGAUGGCUGGGAUGAGGCACAUGCUCACGGAGGUGCUGAGGUAGUAGGAGCUCUUCGAGACCUGCACAGGCGCCCUCCAGUGUGCUGGACCCCCAGCAGGCUCAGCAGCAGCAGGCAGUCGGCCGCCACCAGGUUGGCCAUGUAGAUGCGGUCCUCCGUCCACCUGCGCAGGCAGCAACAGAAGACGCAGGGCGCCAGGCCGUUGAGUUGCAGGCCCAGCACCAGGAUGAGGCCGAUGGAGCCACUGGUCACCACCUGUGACAGGACACUCCUGUCCAUGCUGCAGCUGUUCGAGCUGUUCCUGGGGACAGCAGCCACAGACACAGUGGCUCAAGCCUGAGACAGGGUGGAAGAUGGUGGGAGCCUCUGCCAGAUGGGAAUGACAGGGAACACCAGCAGGACUGACCUUGGGAAGCUGGCCAGGCUGACCUGCAGGAGGAAGGAAGCCAGAGAAAACCGGCUUGUCCCUGGGCUGAGGAAGACCUGGAGGAGAGAGGGGCACGAGCGUUGUACUUCCUCCCCGUGAACGCCUGUGAAGCUGCGAGGAGCAGGGCAAUGCCCAGGUGCCCUGGGGACACGGGGCUGGGGCUGGGAGACGCCCUUGCUGCAGGGGACAGGAUGCAGACAGCCCCAGAGAGAUAGGAGGCGAAUGCACGCUUUCCCAGAUGCCUCUUCCUUGUCAACUCCUGGCGAGCCCGGUCCUGAUCAGUGUGCCAGGCUGCUCCUAAGCCCUCUGGGGGGUCUGUGGACAGUCUCCUGCUAGGAAGAGGCUCUUCCACUUGGCUUGGCCUGGCCCAGAGUGCUCGGGGGCGGUUGGAGCUGAGUCCCAGGCCAUAUUCUGUCUGUCUCCCUGGAUCCCCAUUCUGGCCAAGAUCAGGACUAGACGUCUACACUCAGCCCGGCUCCACUGGUCAGUCCAAGAGUAUCAAAGUGCUGGAAAGGUCCGGCUCAGCUGAAGAAGCCUGCGGCAGGGCUGCUUCCAGCAGUGGGCAGAAGCCCUGGGGAGGCCCAGGUGCUGCCCGGGCCAGGGGAGCCGCCUGACUGAGGGGAAGGUGAGGCCUCCAGAGCCCCCAAGGAAUGC